rnacentral:lncRNA from 1 species
UUUUUUUUUUUUUUUUUUUGACCAUACCUGAAGCAUAUGGAAGUUCCCAGGCUAGGGGUCAUCCUGGAGCUGCAGCUGCUGGCCUACACCACAGCCACAACCACGUGGAUCUGAUCUGAGUCUGCGACCUAUGCCACAGCUCAUGGCAAUGACAGAUCCUUAACCCACUGAGCGAGGCCAAGGAUCAAACCCUCAUCCUCAAGAAGACUAGUUGGGUUCUUAACCCACUGAGCCACAAUGGGAACUCCACUGGCCACUGCCUCUUUCAGUCUGUGGACUCUUCUGGAGCAUACCUGCCCCUCCACGGACACGAUGCUGAUCUGCACACACCUUGUCCCUAGUCCCCCAUUCUUUUUAUGCCUGAUGCUGUUCCAGGUCUGAUUCCCUUUUUGUCUGUCACAGGCCUUAACAGAAAUCCUGCUGUGGUGCCUUGCUCCCAGCAGGGGUUCAGCAAAUGGGGAGCAGUGAACAGAAGGAAUACAAUGUGGUGGUGGAAUUGUAUUCACAAACAGAAAACUAUCUUCAGCAUACACUGUAUUCACAAGGAGUAACAAGUGAUGGCUGCUAGGCAGCAGGGAGGAUGCUGAGAAGAGUGAGAUGCCAUUGAGAUGCAGGCUCUGUCUCUCUCUCCUGACUCUGGCCGCCAGCUGAGCUGUGCAGCUCUCAGCUCUUUCCCAGCCUGCAGGGCCUCCUUACCAGUGGUUCUAGGGGUGACUACUCAAAUUGGAUGCCUGCUGAGAGCCAAUAGAACAAGCCCCAAGUGAAGCUGCCAAUGUGAGCAGAGAUGGACUAAAAGCAAGCUGAGAUAUGCAGCCAAAAGAGAUGGAGCCCAGGCUCCGGGCUCAAAGCAGGUGGGAGGUGAGCCUGGAAGAACUCGGGAACUGCUCAGCAGACAGACCUCUGCUGCUAUGGAUGGAGUUGUGCCAAUUCCCCUCCAACUCAUACGUUAGAGUCCCAACCCCCUGGAUCGCAGAAUGUGGUCUUAUCUGGAGACGGAGUCUUUACAGAGGUAAUCAAGUUCAAGGGGUGUCGUUAGGGUGGUGCUAGUCCAAUGUGAUGGAUGUCCCUAUAAAAAGGGGAAAGUGGGACAAAGAAACCCAGAGGAGAGAUGACGGGAAUAGACAGGGCGGAGACGGCCGUCUACGAGCCCAAGAGAGAGGCCCAGAUCCUUCCCUCACAGUCCCUGGAAAGAGCCAGCCCUGAGGACACCUUGAUCUCAGAGUCUGGCCUCACCAUUAAUGGAGCUACAGACUGUAGGAAUGCCUGAACCAGCACCCCAGUGUCCCACGUGACAUCAACCAGGGGACACUUAAAAUAAAGGAAGUGACUCAAUGACAUCAUGCCUAGAGGAUUCCCUGGGUUUACCUACUGCCCAGAAGCAGUUGUCUUGACAGAUGAUAUGGGAUGGUCUCCUCAAAGCCCAAUUACGGUACCAGCUGGAAGCAAAUAUCCUAUAAGGUCACAGGGUAGAGUGUCUGCUUUGAAGUUUAAGGAUUAAUCCAGUGAUCAACACAUGGUGCCAUCCCCCCUCCCCCACAGCCAGGAGCACAGGCCAGAGAAACAAGGGGCGGAGGCACAGGUGUUUACUAUUCUAGCUCUUAACACACUAGAAGUUAUGUUCCCUCAUGCCCGUGACCUUGGGUUUGGUAGAUCUGGAGGUCCAUGACCAAAGCAGAAAGCAAUCAUGGUUCUGAUCAGCCGGAAGCUGAGCUACCGUUCCCCACCUCCACCUCCCAUGAGACUGGUUUGGCCUCUUUAGGCCAAUGAAACAACAGCCUGAGUCAGGCUCCUGUGGAAAAUGGGGGAAUCAAGUACUUUGAAGCCUGGAGGAUUUGCUGGGGGCAGCUCUUUGCUCUCCUCUGCCCCGCAUUCCUGGCCAAGAAAGAACUGCAGCAAAGUCACCAAGAUCUCAUAUCCUGCAAGAAUGAAGGUGGGGGCGGUCACCCCACCAGUAAAGAACCCAUCCAGCAUGGGGCUUGCACAUGGCAAGGAGACUAAAGAAGGGGUGAUGGGAAAAGACGUCUCAUCGAGUCAGAGCAGCUACCAAGCUGGGAAGUGUGGCCGCUGGGUAAUGAACCCAGCGGCUGAGCACUGCCCCGCAUCUGUGUCCUUAAAUGAAGGACAUGGGCUUGGCUAACAAUUUAGAUUUCACAUGGAAAUGCGGGCAAGUUAACACCACUUUGCAAUGAGAGUAGCUGGUGGGACUUCAACACGUCAUCUUCAGGGGGACAUGAGCGCUUCAUCCAAAGGACAGGAAUGGAUGCUGAGGGCAAAGGGGUUGCCUGAUCCAGAUGCUUCCAUCUGCUUUCCUGGGUCUGUCCCUACCCUUCUCCACCCUGGUCCCUGCUCCAGGACUCUGGACUGAAAACACUCUACAAGAGGUCUUCCAGCUGGGUUCAGCCAGUGAGAGCUUCAGCAGGAGAAGGAGGGAGGGAGGAAAACUAAUUAGGAUGGGGAGUUCCCACUGUGGUGCAGUGGGUUAAGAAACCGACUGCAAUGGCUCAGGUCACUAUGGAGGUACGGGUUCAAUCCCUGGCCUGGUGAGUGGCCUAAAGAAUCUGAUGUUGCCACGUCUGUGGCUUGGAUUCAAUCCCUACCCCAGGAACUUCCAUAUGCCAGGGGAGCAGCCAUGGAGAAAAAAAGAAUCAGGGUGUUUGUUCUCUGGUUCCUCCCCUGAGGUCAUCUCGGGCUCAGACUGUCACUUCCUCUCAAGCCACUCUCCCCUUCUGGGUUUCAGUGACCUCUCCCUUCCCUUUUGCUUCCCUUCCUGCACUUCAUGUGCCAUGGUUCCCCAAUACCUGCCAUACCUUUGUAAUGAGCUCUUUUAGAAAUCAAACUUCCUCAAUUUAUCCUAACAGAACAAGUCAUCUGUUACCCCUGGGGACUCUAACCAACACACAAACUUAAAUACCACGCCCAGGAUCAUGGGUCUGGAAGAUGGUAGGGAGUUGCAGUGACUUAGAACCAGACUCCGCUACAGCCCUGAAGGAAGUGAGCUUGGAUCCCGUCCCAGCCCCUCCUCCCUCCAGAACUGAGAGGUAAUACAUGCUGAGUGUGUGGCAACAUGUUCUGGCAACAAAAGAACACAUAAGCUAACACGAAUCUCUCUCUCAUGCACCCUUUUUUAGAAAACUGCCCAGGAGUUCCCGUCGUGGUGCAGUGGUUAACGAAUCUGACUAGGAACCAUGAGGUUGCGGGUUCGGUCCCUGCACUUGCUCAGUGGGUUAACGAUCCGGCGUUGCUGUGAGCUGUGGUGUAGGUUGCAGACGCGGCUCGGAUCCAGCGUUGCUGUGGCUCUGGCGUAGGCCGGAGACUGCAGCUCCGAUUGGACCCCUAGCCUGGGAACCUCCAUAUGCCGAGAGAGCGGCCCAAGAAAUAGCAAAAAGACAAAAAAAAAAAAAAAA